AGGAAUGACCCCCAAAAUCCUCGCUCGGGAUUCCCAGCCGGUCCAGCGCCAACCGGAAUACCCUGAGGAACUGAAAACGAGACAAGUAGGCACCAUCCCCGUGAAUUAACAGCGGGCCCGCAACAGUCGAGCGUAUAGAGCAAUAGGACUGGCAUGCCGAGAUGGGGCAAAGAGCCGAAUCAGGGAUGGAGCGGAGAGUAACCCAUAAACCUCUCCCAAGAAUGUCAGUCUUGGACCGACGCAACAAAAAGC